rnacentral:rRNA from 1 species
UGGGGAAUUUUGGACAAUGGGCGAAAGCCUGAUCCAGCAAUGCCGCGUGUGUGAAGAAGGCCUUCGGGUUGUAAAGCACUUUUGUCCGGAAAGAAAUCCUUGGCUCUAAUACAGUCGGGGGAUGACGGUACCGGAAGAAUAAGCACCGGCUAACUACGUGCCAGCAGCCGCGGUAAUACGUAGGGUGCAAGCGUUAAUCGGAAUUACUGGGCGUAAAGCGUGCGCAGGCGGUUUGCUAAGACCGAUGUGAAAUCCCCGGGCUCAACCUGGGAACUGCAUUGGUGACUGGCAGGCUAGAGUAUGGCAGAGGGGAGUAGAAUUCCACGUGUAGCAGUGAAAUGCGUAGAGAUGUGGAGGAAUACCGAUGGCGAAGGCAGCCCCCUGGGCCAAUACUGACGCUCAUGCACGAAAGCGUGGGGAGCAAACAGGAUUAGAUACCCUGGUAGUCCACGCCCUAAAACGAUGUCAACUAGUUGUUGGGGGACUUCAAUUUUCCUUAGUAACGUAGCUAACGCGUGAAGUUGACCGCCUGGGGAGUACGGUCGCAAAGAUUAAAAACUCAAAUGAAUUGACGGGGUCAUAGCUG